GGCUAUAAAUAGCCAUGAUUUCUCCACAAUUAUCACUCACUCACAACUCCAAUUAAAUCCUCGCCGGAAAACCACCACCUUCGCCGGAAAAACGCCCCCAAAAACACCCCUCAAAGCUUCCAUAUUUUCGCACCACAACUCUCUCCCCUCUGUUUCGGAUCAGCCACCGCACCGCCCUCGCAGCGCCGCUGCACUGCCGCGCCUCCUGUGCGCCACCACCACACCUACCCACCGACGCCUCCCUCCUCCCUCGCUCGUCCUCUUUCUCUCUCUCGCGCACCUCACCUUCCCCUAUCGCGGCGCAACCACUGCAGCUGCACCGAACCACCGUGGUCGACGAAUCUCCGACGGACCACCACCUUGCUGUCUCUCGGUCGGAGCCCCACCCACUGCCAGUCAAUCUCUCUCCUCUGCUCUGUUUUCGGUCCUGCUCAAUUGAGCAGAGAUUAAACGGAAAGGAUAUUACAGCCUCCCCCGGCUUUCAAGGUUAUUAAGCAGGAAUCCAGGUAUGAGCAUAGCCAUUACAAGUGCGCUGUUAAUAUGGAACAUGUUCAAGGGAAAGUGUGCGGUAU